rnacentral:lncRNA from 1 species
AACCGAAACGUCAAUCGUCAUCGGUGGGCACCAGUUGGAGAACAAUCUGCUCCAGUUUGAUCUGGCCACCUCAAGGCUUGGCUUCAGCUCUACGUUGCUCGGCCGGCAAACUACCUGCGCCAACUUCAACUUCACAUCCAACGCUUAGAGGAUCUUCAUCAUCAACAAAUUGCUUACCUACUAAAUUAGUAUUAUGUUUUUACUUACUGUAUUUCUUUGAUCUUUGUUAUUUGCUAUCAAAUAUUUGUGUGUGUGUGGAAGAUGCAGGAUGGGCAUACGUAAGUAUUUCAAAUAAACAAAUCACUCGUUUUAUCUGUCUCCAGUAAUAUUAUUUAUUAUUACUUCAUUUUUUUAACUUCUUAAAAUGAACAGUUUGCUAAGUUUUUUUCCUUGUUCAAAUAUAAAAAUAUAUCUCAUUAAAUUUCAAAAACAAAUUACCACGAAAAAUUGGAUGAAAAAUCAGCAUAAAUUAUAUAUGUUUAAUGAUUUAAUUAAAAAAUAAAAAUAAAUAGUAAUAAUUAACAUGUUUUUAAAAAAUAAAAAAAAAUAUUUAUUAGAUAAUUGAUAAUAAGGUUAAAUAUAUUUUUUUUAUCCCUUUACUAUUUUAUUUUAUUCAAUUUGAUUCCUAUCUUAUAUUACUUACUAUAUUUUUAGAAAAUAUUUAAACUAAUCUCUCAACGACAAUUAAUGUUUUUUACUUCUGUUACGAUUGCAUCUGCUUGAUUAUUAUACUAAUUGAGAUUAAAAUAUAUACUACAUAAAAAUUAUACACUUAAAAUAAAAAAUAUAUAAGAUUAAAAUGUAAUUUGCACCCAAAAUAUAAAAAAUAUAUACUCAAAAAGAGAUUAAAAUAUAUGAAAAAUAAUAAUAAUUUGUUAAGUGUACUAUUAAUUUUUGUUCAAAUUAAUUUUUACCUCAAAUUCAAUUGCAACAAAUCAAAAAAUAUCAUGUACUGUUAGAUUUGACAUGUGACACUAGUCUUGACAACUUACUAAUGAAUUAAAGUUAAUGAACAAAAUUAAAUUUUUUUAAAAAAUACAUAAACUAAAUUGACCAAAAAUUAAGGUAGUCUAAUUUGAACAAAAAUUAAUAGUAUAAGAAUCAAAUCAUUAUUUUUUCAUAAAACAUAUACAUAAAAUACCAAACAUGUACUCAAACAUAUCUCCAAAUUAUGCUCUUAUACUAUUUUGCUUUUUUCAUAUAAGUCCCUGUAUUUUUUUGCCUAUUUUAACUAUGUAUCCCUAAAUUUUUACUCUAUCACCUUUCAACUUUAACUACUGUUUGAGAAUUAUUAAUAGCUUGACAAAUGAUGGAUAAUAUGUCAAAAAUAGUGGACAUAAAGAAUGACACGAUGUAUGAUGUGGUAGUAACAUUAUAUUAGAAAAACUUAAAAUUUUAUAUAGGUUCUUUUUUUUCCAGCCAUAUCAGAUUUAAAAACUCAAAAUUUCAAUUGAGUCAUCUGAUUCCUUCAUUUAUUUUUGCAUUUUCUUUCUCUGAAACUCUAUACUAUUCAAUUUCUUUUGUCUAAACCCUUAUUCUAUCAAAUAAAUUUAAGUAAAAAAUAAUUGUUCUUUCUAAGUCAUGCACUGUUGUUGGUGUUUAUUUUGGAUUAUUCAGUUUAAAUUUCAAGAAAACAUCUUUUGUUUAAGAGUGUAUGUCUCAAUAUGCUUCUAUCUUUUCUAAAAGAACCAAAAUACUGAAUCCGAACAAUCAUGAUGUAUGGGUGUGUACGGGCUGUUACUUGAAUUCAUGUUUGAACUACUCGAGUUUGGAUUAACAUGAAAUGUAGAUUGCUUAGAGGAAGGACUUUUAAGAAGCUUUAACGAAAAAGAAGAUGCCCCAACAUGAUCAAUUGAUUCUCCUAAACUGGGUUAUGGCAUGUCAAUCAGUUUGUCAACAUUGAUUAGACUCUUUAAAUACACAGUUGGCCUCACAUGUACUUCUUUCUUUGUUGGCUUUAUACCAUAUCUCGACCAAAAUGAGAAAAAGGUUAGAAAGCACGAUGAGAAAUAAACAUGAUUUAUUACUAGAUAGCAUAAUUGUGAGUUAUCUUAUCUUGAAGGAAUAUGUUAUUUAUCAUCUAGUUUGUAAACUAUAAUAUCAAAUAGCCUUGAACCUUUUUUUCUUAUAGACAUAUUGGCUUGCCAAAUGAAAUACUUCUGCACCAACCAUAUUUACCAUGCUCCUAUAGCACAAGUAAAAACGUAAUGCACUCAUCUUCAAUCCUUGAACUACCUUUUUUUCGCUCGCAACUCAACGAAGAGUUGGGAAUAAGAUCCUCAAAGUUGUAUCCAUCACUGUUGUAUGACCCAAAAGAAUUUGUCCCUUAGCUUUCAAAGAUGGGAGAAUAAAGAAGAAGCAUUGUUUUGUUACUUUUAUUUUAUUCAUUGAUAAUGUAUGAUCUUAAAAAAAAUAAUUAUUUUGGACUAAAAUUUAUUUGACAGAAUAAGGACUUAAAUGGAACAAAUUAAAUAUUACAAGUACAAAGGAAGAAAAUGGCAAAAUAAAAGAAGAAAAUUGGGGAGACCCUGAUGGAAGUUCUAAAACAUGACGUAACUAACAGACCAUGCACUACGUCAUCAUGCAUGUGUCAUGUAUUUUAUAUGUCAUUACCCACAUGCCUAGCCAUCAAGGACCAUCUAACGGUAGUUAAGAUUGAUNNNNNNNNNNNNNNNNNNNNNNNNNNNNNNNNNNNAUUAUAAAUUUUAUAUUAUUUAAAUUUUUAAGACUGUAUUUAUUAUUCACAUUAAUUGUGUUUAAAUGAAUAGACAAUUUUAUUUUUAUUGAAAAUAAGAUACAAAUAAAUAUAAAUUUUAUUAAUAAACAUAUAAACUCAUUAUUAAUGUAUCAUAUGUUAUUAAUAUAUGGAUCUGGGGUCUGUCCACAAAUUAUGAAUUUAAUCUGCUUAAACACUAUAAUAUCUUUUAAAACAUAUAUACAUAUAUACACACACACAUAUAUAUAUUGUUCAUGUAUAAUAAUGCAAUCUAUGAGGCAGGAUUAGUAGUUUUGUGUGCCUGCGUGCGUGCGUAUGCAUAUAUAUAUAUGUAUAUAUAAGAGGAAGUUACGUACAUAUAUUCAUAAAAAAAAUAGUUAUAUAUAUUGUAAAUAGAAUAAAAUAGCCUUAUCCUAAUUAAUCACAAUUAAUAAUUUAAGUGAAACUAUCAAAAUGGAACAAAAACAUACAUCCACCUGGAUCUCCACGUGGAGGCAGUUGAUUAGUUGCCUUGCUUGAAUUGCAGCCUUCUUUGACAACAAGACUUGUCGGCUUCUGCGAGCUGGACCUUCUCUUUUAUAAUGCGGUAGGACAACCGUGCACGAACUAUAAAUAUCAUAUACCCAUUUCUCUCAUUUCACAGUAUCUGCAAGCUUCUAUUUGCACAUAUAUAUAUAUAUAUAUAUAUAUGAGAUUUUCUUUUUUGUACAUACAUCUUAGAAAAUGGUUACGUCUCUUCAACUUGUCAUCUUUUCUUCUCUUCUAGUUUUAUGCCUUGCUCCUUAAAACCAUUGGCUCAACAAUCUUUUAGGCCCAAGGCUCUACUUCUACCUGUCUCCAGAGACACUUCGACUCUCCAAUACACCGCUACUAUAAACCAAAGGACCCCUCUGGUAUCUCUCAAGGUCGUCGUCGAUCUCGGCGGCCAAAACUUAUGGGUAGAUUGUGAGAGAAAUUUUGCGUCUUCGACCUUCCGUCCUGCUCGUUGUGGCUCAGCCCAAUGCUCCUUAGCUGCAGCCACGGCCUGCUCCGGUUCCAAUACGUGCGGUGUUUUCCCAGAUAACACUGUCACCCGAACAGCCACAUUCGGCGAUAUCGGUCAAGAUGUGGUAGCAAUUAAAUCAACCGAUGGGUCGAAUCCGGGUCGGGUAGUUGUCGCGCCUGGGUUCAUUUUGACUUGUGCGCCAACUUUCUUGCUACAGGGUCUUGCUAGUGGAGCUAUGGCCUUGGCUGGUCUUGGCAGGACUAGAGUUUCUCUCCCGGCGCAAUUUUCUGCCGUCUUUAGUUUCCACAGAAAGUUUGCACUCUGCCUUUCAUCGGGAAACGGCGUCGUCUUCUUCGGGAACGGGCCAUACGUGUUUCUUCCCGGCACUGAAGAUUUGUCCCCAUCACUCACCUUCACGCCCCUUUUCAUCAAUCCGGUAAGCACCGCUUCUACUUUCUCAGCCGCUCGUCGGAGUACUUCAUCGGCGUGAAAUCCAUCAAGGUGAAUGAAAAGGUUGUCCCGUUAAACACAACUUUGUUGUCCAUUGAUAGCCAAGGAAUUGGAGGAACAAAAAUCAGCACUGUGAAUCCCUUCACGGUUUUACAGAGCUCAAUCUUCGAAGCUGUCACCACGGCCUUUGUUAGUGAAGCCGCCGCCAUGAACAUCAAAAGGGUGGCUCCUGUGGCGCCGUUUGAUGCGUGUUUCAGCUCUGAAAACAUAGUGGGUACUCGGCUCGGAGCAGCAGUGCCGACGAUUAGUCUAGUUUUGCAGAACGAGAAGGUGGUUUGGAACAUGUUUGGUUCGAACUCAAUGAUCGAAGUUAGCAGGGAUGUGAUGUGUCUGGCCUUUGUUAAUGGCGGAUUAGAAACCAUAACGUCCAUCGUCAUUGGUGGCCACCAGUUGGAAAACAAUCUGCUCCAGUUUGAUUUGGCCACCUCAAGGCUUGGCUUCAGCUCUACGUUGCUUGGCCGGCAAACUACCUGCGCCAACUUCAACUUUACAUCCAACGCUUAGAGGAUCUUCAUCAUCAACAAAUUCCUUUCCUACUAAAUUCUUAUAUGUUUUUAGUUACUGUAUUUCUGUGAUCUGUGU